UACGUAGGGGGCAAGCGUUGUCCGGAUUUAUUGGGCGUAAAGAGCGUGUAGGCGGCCAUGUAGGUCCGUUGUGAAAACUCGAGGCUCAACCUCGAGACGCCGAUGGAAACCAUGUGGCUAGAGUCCGGAAGAGGAGAGUGGAAUUCCUGGUGUAGUGGUGAAAUGCGCAGAUAUCAGGAAGAACACCCGUGGCGAAGGCGGCUCUCUGGGACGGUACUGACGCUGAGACACGAAAGCGUGGGGAGCGAACAGG
rnacentral:rRNA from 1 species